UUUUUUUUUUUUCACCAAGGUUCAAAGUAUAUAUUGAGAUAUGAAAAAAAAUCAUAGAAGAUGAGAAGGAUGAAUAUUGCUAAAGUUUGGGGGUAGGAUCAUGGAAUCCAGUUGCACCCUCUGGGGGUAGGAUCAUGGCAUCCGGUUGCACCCUCUGGGUUGCUUGAAUUUUUUACAAUGAUUGAAUAUUAUCAGGCAAAAUAGGUAGAGCUAUCCCUUAACAGAAGGGGAAAAAAAAAAAAAAAAAAAAAAAAAAAGGACUGUCAUGUGUAAUAAGGUUCCAAGGAUAGGACAUGGAAUUGUACAUUCAUAAGGGUUACUUAGGUGAGGUACUGCUCUGUUUGGGGUAGCUGGCCUAAGAGGGUUCACCUGAGACACAUGGGCCAGCCUGCUGGCCACUGAAGUUCUGCUUAUUUGAAAGAGAGUGAGAGCAAGAGAGAGCCAAAUACACUCAUAUUAGGGUAUAAACAUACAAGUAGCUGGGACACAUGACUGAUUGUUGGAAUGAAUGAAGCAUUUUCUUAGCCUCUUCCUCCCUUCCUUCCUUAUAAUUAAACAUCUUAAAUGGUGUAGAGAUCCUAAUGAUUCUAUUCCAAGCUUUAUUUUGGUUCUAUCUUGAACCAUACUUCUAAACGUUCCAUUUUCUAGAUUCAGAGAGGGCUCUGCAAAUUCCUAACUUUUGUAUAGAACCAUGAUGUUCUUGUCUUGAGUUUUUGCAUUUCUUGUGUGUGUGUGUGUGUGUGUGUGUUUGCCUUUUCUAGGGCCUCUUCCUCGGCAUAUGGAGGUUCCCAGGCUAGGGGUCCAAUCAGAGCGGUAGCCACCAGCCUACGCCAGAGCCACAGCAAUGCCAGAUCCAAGCCACGUCUGCAACCUACACCACAGCUCAUGACAACGCUGGAUCCUUAACCCACUGAGCAAGGGCAGGGACCGAACCAGCAACCUCAUGGUUCCUAGUCGGAUUCAUUAACCACUGCAUCUUCUAAUUUCCCCAAAGUAAUACCUAAAUCAUUGUUUCAGACAAAUGGCACCUAUACUAAAGAAAUACUGGAGAGCCUGUUGUGGCUCAGGAAAAAAACAAAACAAAACAAAAAACUGACUGGUAUCCAUGAGGAUGCAGGUUCAUUCCCUGGCCUUCCUCAGUGGGUUAAGGAUCUGGCGUUGCCAUGAGCUGUGGGGUAUGUAGGCUGCAGAAGAGGCUCGGAUCUGGCAUUGCUGUGGCUGUGGUGUAGGCCAGCGGUUACAGCUCCUAUUCGACCCCUGGCCUGGAAAUCUCCAUAUGCCACAGGAGCAGCCCUAAGAUAAAAAAAAGAAAGAAAAGAAAAGAAAUACUAUGCUAAGUGCAGUGCUGGGAAAUUCAGUGGUACUUGGCUGCAUAUUAAAAAAAUUAGUAGUAACACGUAAUGUGUGUUUGGGGAAAAAAAAAACAAGUUCAUCACAAACUUAGUGCUAAGGAUGGAGUUUCAGAAUAAAGCUGCAUUUUGAAAAAUUAGAGAAUUAAAGUAUAGAAACAACUGGGAGGGGUGGACAUGUGUCCUUGCAGAAUGGGGUUGCAUUUGGGCGGGAGUAGCUACUGUCUCUUGCCCAGUCCCAUUGAGGGCAGUAAUCUGCAUUUUUAAGAGGGCAGCUGGAUUUCCCAUUGUGGUUCAGCAGUAAAGAACCCGACUAGUAUCCAUGAGGAUUCGGGUUUGAUCCUGGCCCUGCUCAGUGGGUUAAGGAUUCGACGUUGCCAUGAGCUGUGGUGUAGGUCACAGAAAAAGCUCAGAUCUGGCGUCACUGUGGCUGUAGACCAGCAGCUGCAGCUACAAUUCGACCCCUCGCCUGGGAACUUCCAUAUGCCAGGGGUGUGGCCCUAAAAAGCAAAAAAAAAAAAAAAAGUAGCUGGAGUUAGAGGUUCCACUGUGGACUGGGAAUAGGGAAGGCUCAGCUAUCUCUUGUCAAGUGAGACACAAGAAAAGUGUGCGCCAGAGAGCACAGAAUAAUUGGGACUUAAACACAGAUGGCUAAGUGUCUCCAGGAAUUCCACAGUCGGGACUAAUGGCUAAAAUUACCAGCUUAAACUAUUUCCCAUGUUCAUUCUCUGAAGUGCUAUAAAUGGAAACUUAUACAUUUCCCCCCAAUAAAAUGUUCAUAUUGUUCUUUCUAAGACGCAAGAGACUAACACUCGCUUAAGACCAACUGAGGAAAAACAGCAUUUGACAGCCACUGUACGAACCCUGAAAACCUUCAUCUGCGGCGUAGACAGGAAGUGAGCGGUGCCCAGCUUCCCAGGCUCCCUGCAAGUAGGAGAGACGGGGGUCUGUCAAGAUGUGUGCAUAUCAAUGAGCUUCAGAUCUAAGUCAAUGCCACAGCGAUCCCCAAGGAAACUGGCUCAGUGUUUAUAACAGCCUGCUAACUUUGGGAAUUCAGAGAACAAUAGUAUCCUUUUCUAAUUGGAUCAGAAUCCCCUUUGAUGUCUUCAUCCCAAGUGGACCAGCUUCUACUUCCUGCCAGCCUCUUCCACGGAGGGUGAGGGGCUGUAGGCACAUUUGCAGCCUGGAAGGAGCAAGAGCUGGAGACCCCUUUGUGGGCUGAACCCGUGGGCUAUAAAGCUGGCAGGUCUGCUCUGCAAGAUCACAGGCCAGGACAGUGACGGCUCUGUGCUCUCUGGGGCUCGGACACAGCACACUGAAAAAUGUUCUCAAUUGUUUUGAAUAAUAUUUAACGCAAGUUGGCUUUUAGUUGGGCAAAAUGGUCUGCAAAGAAACAUCCCUCCUUGUAACUAGCAUUUUUUUUUUAAAGGUUUUGAGCGGCUUACACAAAUAAUACAAAGGUGCAUUGAAAUGAAUGCACUAUGCAUCUGAGCCCACUGAUUUGCACGCCUAAAACACAAGCCAUAAAUACUGAUUUGUUGAGUCCCAAACCCAGCCCAUAUAUUUUCUAGAUCUAAUGAACGGAGGAAGGUGGGAGGCACAUGGAAGUUGACAUUAAAUCAAACAGCUACUUCAUUCUGUGUGAAGCCUGGCCGAAAGUCCACUGGAUCGGCACCAAGGCUGCAUUCCUUCUCUUCAUCCAAUAAUCCCACUCCCCGCACCCCACCCCCACCCCCCCAGUAAUGAAGGAAGGAAAAGCCACAGUGUUCUGAGGACGGACUGAGAACUUAGGAAAGACUUACUUGAAAACUUUUAAAACAGUUGCCAGAAGCGGCGUGCCUUGUGGCACAAAGAUGAUCUUUCCUACUUUGCAAAUUGGUAAAAUGUUGCCCUUGACCUGAAACCAGCCCGUUUCCUGGAGGAUUCUUUUAGUCAUGGUCUGGGACGAUGGCAGCCUGGCCAGGGCCACUGGUUUCUGCUCUUCUCAGAACCCAGUCGGGCCUCAGGCCUUUGCCCCACUGGCAAGUGGAAUACGUUAUGGAAUGCUUCCUAUGUGCCAGGGCGUUUGCUCGUAAGCAGAAGUCCUGCCUCGAGGGCCUGAGAGAAUAUUAGCAAAUACAUAGGGCAGAUGGCAGGUGCUGAUAUGAAGAAAAAUUAAGCCUGGAAAAAAUGGAGAGGCAUGGAAGAGCAGCGCUCUCUCAGAAGGAAGUCAGGGAAGGCUUCUCGGAGGAGGUGGCAGGGAAGCAGACAUCUGUACCAAGUGAGGGAGCCUGGGAUGGGGCCACCUGGGUGAAGGUACAAAGCCCUGAGGGGUGUUAACAAAGGGGUCACCCAGGAAGGCAAGGGCCAGAUCACCAAGGACAUGGAGGCCAUGAAGGACCUAGGGUUUUAUCCUACGUGUGAUGAGAGGCCUUUGGCCAGGGGAAGGCAGGGGACACUCUGGUUUCCAGGGAACAAGAGUGGGGGCAGGGACACAGGUUAGGAGGAUGCAGGGGAGCAGAGAGGAGACAUGGUUUAGAUUAGAGAAAGAGCAAUGGAAACAGAGGGGUCUUUGAAGGUAGAGCCAACAGGCUGGCUAAUGGAUUGGGUGUGGGGUGUGAGAAAGAAGAAUGGAGGGUAACUGCUGGGUUUUUGGCAGAGCGACUAGAAUGUGCCAUUUGCUGAUACGGGGAGGCACCGGGCAAGAAGCAGGGUCUGAGAAGGCACAAUCAGGACCUCAGUUUUGGGCGUGUGACAUGUGACAGAGACCUAAGGAGGCAGGAGGAGAGCCUGAAUUUGAGGGAGAAUGUCCAGGCUGGAGGGAUAAAGUGAGAUCUCAGAGCCAGUCACGAUUCUGCAGGGGUUCAGCACAGACGAAGAAGCCCCAGGGCUGAGUGCCAGGGAGCUCUCCCAGCUCUGAGAGGAGGAAGGACUCACAAAAGGGACCGCGAGGCAAGAGGGUGGUGCCCCAGGCGCCAAGUGAAGGAACAGUUCCAAGGAGGAACAAGUGACCAGCUGUGUUGAAUGUUGCUGAGACACCCUCCAAAGGUGCAGGCACACACGCGCACAGCGAGCGAUGGAUGGAGGGAGGUAGGGAUACAGCAAAGGUGGCAAAAUGUUAAUUAACAGCUGAGGAGCUAGAGGAAGGAUAUAAGGAUUUUUUUGGUUCUACUCUUAUAACUUUCCCUACAUGUGAAAUUGUGUCAAAAUAAAAGUUAGAAGAACACGACGCUUACGAGAGAUCUGGUAAGAUGAGCACUGAGAAUGGACCAGUGUCUGCCCAGACAGAAGUUGCUGAUGCCUUAACAGAGGCAAUGUCAGCAGAGGGGUGCGGAUGAAAUCGUGACUGCUGAUGGGUGCUACCAAGAAAGAGGAGGGAGAAAAUGACAACAAUAACUAUUGACGAUGCUUUCAGGAGGUUUCACUAUGAAUUGGGAGGCAGAAAUGGGAGGGGACGGUGAGCACGGGGUCGGUGAAACCAAAAUUUAAGAUGACACUUGUUUAAGAUGGUGUGUUUGUCUACUGAUGAGAAGAUCUUGCAGAGAUGAGGGAAUGGCAGGAGCAAAGCUCUUCCGUAGGCUGGAGGGGGUGGGAGGUUGAUGCACAAAUUGGGGGCUGGCCAUAGCUAGGAGGAGAGGCAGGUCACCCACUGGAGGGGUGGCAGGGUAUAUGGGUUCAGAUGCUGGGAGAUCAUUCUGUUUGGCAAAAGAAAUUAUAAGGAGUGUCCCUUCUGAUCCUUCUGUUUUCUCAGUGAUAUAUAAAACAAAGGCUGCAGCUGAAUGUGAAAGAGAGAGUAGGUGUUUAGGUUUCAGAGAGAAGAGGAGGUGUGGGAAAAUAAAGGAGUGAGCUGAUGAUGGAAUGUGGUAGGUUUGCCAAGCAAAGCAGAAGGCUCGGUUGAGGUAUGUGGCUAUAAAUUUAACAUGAGUCCCAUCAGCAUGGUUGUGUGAAUGUCCU
rnacentral:lncRNA from 1 species